rnacentral:lncRNA from 1 species
AUGGCAAAUUAAAUAAACAUCCAUCGUUCUAGUCUUGAUUUAAUAACAAGAAGGAUCACAUUCAGAGGUGCUUGACAGGUUCCAACUGAAAGUUCGCCUACUAGAUUGCUUUCAAACAAUUGCUAGUAAUAAUUUCAAGGUCUUCCAAAUUCUUAGUUGCAUUUUCUUUGAGCCCUCAAAUUUCAAACAACACUGCAAAACAAAGACACAUCGUGAGCUAGGAAAAAAUACUUACUGCAAGAGAUAAGGAUCACAAAAGGGAUUAGACAAGAUAAUAUCAAACAUCAACAUAGCCUUUUAGUCCCAAGCAAGUUGGGGUAGACUAGAGUUGAAACCCAACAAGAUGUCACCAAAAGGAUAAAGAGAGAGAAAGGGGAGGGAAAAGCUUUUGAGAGCACUAAAAGGAAAAAGGCCUAAUCACGGUUCAGGCACGUGGAUAACUUCUUUCCAAACACUUCUAUCAAAACACAACUUCAUUGAGAUAUUCCAUUCCUUCAAGUCCCUUUUGAUUGCCUCCUCCCAUGUCAAGUUUGGUCGACCUCUACUACUCUUCACAUUAUUAUCCCGUUUUAUGAUGCCUCUAUGCACCGGUGCCUCUGAGAGUCUCCGGUGGACAUGCCCAAACCCCAAACCAUCUGAACCGGCGUUGAAUAAGCUUUUCUUCAAUUGGCGCUACUCCUAGUCGAUCGCGUAUGUCAUCGUUUCUCACUCGGUCCAAUCUUGUGUGCCCACAUAUCCAACACAACAUACGCAUCUCUGUGACUGCGACACUUAGUUGUUGGAUAUGUCGCCUCUUAGUAGGCCAACACUCAGCCCCAUAUAACAUAGCGGGCCUAAUCGCUGUCCUGUAAAACUUGCCUUUCAACUUCUGUGGCACUCUCUUGUCACAUAGGACUCCCGAUGCUUGACGCCAUUUCAUCCACCCCGCUUACGGCCGAAAAACCCAGUCGGUUAGCUCAACCCUAGGACUCAUGUGCCGUAUCCCUGGAGAGGCCAGGAGAUAGAGUAAAGCUAGGCGGCGGUGGCGGCGCUAAACGGCCUCUCCGUCUUUAGUGGCAUGUUCGGCCGAAGCUUGUGCCCUCCCCUUGCACGACCACCUCCUGCUCGGCUCCUUAUAAUGGGAGUUCGAUCUCCUGGUUUGGUAAUCUGGGAGACACAAUAUUCCUUCUCCUCUCUCCCUAUUCACUGCUCCAGUUGAGAACUGGAUCGAUUGACUCGAUCCCUGGCCUUCAUGUGGUGAUUCUUACUGGUUGUGAUUGGAAGAAAGCUGUAGCUGGCGCUGCACACGUGCAGCAACAGUUCCUUGCGCUCUUCUUCUGUGCUCGGACUCCUGUGUGGUGUUGUGCACUUCUCUCUGGUUGUUGUCGACCGUGGCUUGGUGCUUGGGCUUCCUACUGCGCGGUGUUCAUCUUCUCGGGCUGGUGCCAUGGGCGUUUCCCUCAGUUUCAGCAGCGGCUCUAGUAUCUCCGUAAACCUCCCGCUGUGCAGGCUCGGACGUGGGCGGCAGAAUUGGUUUUCUGGGACAGAACUUCGUGUUCGCUGAGCUGGUCUUCCCAUGUAGACUAUCUACGUGUUGUGAGUUGCCCGUUGCCUCACUUUAUUUACUGUUUGAUUUUGUGCAAUCUGCUAGUAUUAAAUACUUGGGUGUCAUUGCACUAUUGUGGGUGGAUUUGUAUGCUCGAUGAUGAUAGCGGUGUAGUGACUAGUGAGACAACGUGACAAUUUGAGUUUUUAGUGUGUUGUUAUUUUCAGCAUCAAGUAUAUAUUUAUGCCUAGUUAUAUUAAUCUUUAUUAAGGCUGUUUACUUGUGUUAAGAUCUGUUAUUUUAUUUAGUGCAUAGUUCCCUACUCUUUGUAUUCAUGCUUGAUUUCUAGGCUCAUUAUAUUUGAUCUAAAACCCUGAUUUGGUAAGUUAGGACUGUCACGUUAGUCAAGGAUCUCUGGUCACCAAUUAGCGUUGGAGGGCUAUUCAAUAUAGCAACCCGCUAUUUUGAGAGCAAUAUCAAAAGAUAAACAAUAAUGUUUAUGUGCAUAAUCUGCCUUCUUCAUCUGCAAGCCAUGUUUAAUAUUGAAAUGGACAUGAGUAGCUAUUUUACAUGUUUUCAUGUCCUAGAAUUGCUACUGUUCAUUGCUGCUAUAAUUACAUAUGACAUUUAUCUGAGUUAUAUGUUUGUUUUAUUCAGAAUUAGAAUAUUUAAUAUAUUUAAAUAUGUUGAAAGCAUGUCACUUAUUUCUCUAAAAUUACAACAAUCAUUGCUAUAGUAAUUGUCUCCUCCAGGAAGAUCAACAAAAGUUUCUGGCAAUAUGUUACUUGUUUGGCUAUUCAACCAAUCUUCAUCCCCAUUGUGCAUCCAUAUAAUAUUAUGGAACAACAUUGCCGCAACUGGUAUUUUCACUUGGUUCCUAAUUGGGUGGUGUGUUCCAACUUUUAGAAUGGGGAAACUCUUCUUCAAAACUCAUAUUGCUCUCUCUAUGUGGUUCCGCAGUAAAGCAUGGCGGUGAUUAAAUAAUUCCUUAUAGUUUCUAGACCGUUGGUGACCAUGGCCAAAUUCUUUCAAGUGGUAUCGAACACCACGGUACGGUGCAAUGAAUGAUGGUGUGUCAGCAUAUCCCCCAUUGACAAGAUAAUACUUUCCCUCAGGAACAUGGAAUCAUCCAAGUAGCGUAGACCUUAGAACCCUAGCAUCUGUAGCUGAUCCCUCCUAACCAGAUGAUAUAAAAGUAAAUUUCAAGUCAAAAUCACAAACCAAUAUUACAUUUUGACUUAGUGUGCCUUUUCUAUUCCUAUAGGGAGAUUGCUUUUCUGCUGAAAUGGUAAUGGGAACAUGUGUUCCAUCAAUAGCUCCAAUGCAAUUCUGGAAAUAAGGAAAGAACCGUUCAUCCGUGCUAAUCUUCCAAUGAACUGAAAUUCCAGUGGCAGGCUUCACAAAUCUAUACAUGAGAGAUGGGAUUAUAUGGAAAACUGACUCGAUGUGUCGGUGGAUAGUUUCACCACUAUGUUUGAAUUCAUGUUGUAAAUCCUCAUAACUAGCAUUAUGGGACAACAUGAAAAGGAACAUUCCCAAUUUUUCUUCCACAGUAACACCCCUUAUAUCAUGUAGGAUGUGUUCUUCUCUAAGAAAUGUUGCUAUAUCUUUGAAUAUUCUAGGCUCCAUACAAAAUGCGACAAGACAAUUCUUCUCAUGUCCUUCGAGAAUCUCUUUAAGUCUCUCCUUGCCUGGUAGAAUAGAAGCAUGCCUUGCUCUUUUCUCUCUCCCUCUAUUACUAAUUAGAUAAAGAGCAGGGAAAAGAAAGAGCAUUAACUCCUCGUCCUCCUCUUCUCUUCUAUUCCUAAUUAGCUGAUCCAUUUUUUCUUAUCCUUGGUACAGUCUGAUAUCAUAGCAUACAAAACAAAUAAAUGGACCAAUGAAUUUCAGAAUAUAACUUAUUUAUUAUUGCAUUGUUGUAACACUGUGCUAUAAGAUGACUUUGAUUUAAAUACACUAAUUUUAAUUUUCUAUACUAAUAUAAGUAAGUAUAGAAAUUAUUAGGAGCACUAGUAUAUCAAUUAUUAGGAGGCGAAGCUGAUAAAAACACAGGUGGGUAGUGACAGGUCACAGUAGCUAGCUAUCAAUUUUUAGGAGCACUAGUUAUCGCAAGUGCUACUGCAAGCUCCUGAAAGCUACACAACGACAUACCUGUGGGUAGUGACAGGUCACACUAGCUAGCUAUCAAUUUUUAGGAGCACUAGUUAUUGAGAUGAGCAGAUUUUCAUAGAUAUGCUGCAAAUCGAUGGGGCCUAACAUGGUUAGCGUAGGAUCCUUACUACCGGAAAGAAAGUGAAAGGGCUUUAGCACCAACUGUUUCAACUUUCAAUGGAUUCAAGGACAGACUAGAAACAUGGAGAAUUCGUUGCUCAAAUUUACGUCGGGAAAUGUACACAAAAACAAUUUUCUGGUACUGCAAGCAGCCUUCCAUGUUCCUUAGGCGGCUACUACCAAUGCCAGUACCAGAAGCCGCUGCCUUCGAUGUGGGAAGUCAUCAUACUUGCAACCAGGAAAAUCGAGGUGGAAAGUCACCAUAACUGUAAGCAGUGCCAGACGCCGCAGCCGUUGGCGGCUCGCGCGGGCGCAGGCGCCCUGCCAGGUGCCACUGCUCAAGGAGGUAUCACUCAUAGCAGUGAACAGGAAAAAAUGGUGUACAGGAAGAAGUAAAACUCACACGUUGUACGAACGAGAUCGGUGGUGACGCGGAGAUCUGUGGAUGCCUCUCGACCAAUGACACACGCUCGUCUUGAUCUAGGGUU